AUGAAGCAGUGAAUCUUCAAUAUAGUGAAGAUGCAAAAUAUCCAGAGAAUUAUCACACCUGCCUCAUUACCUUCAAAAAACUCUGGGUGGGUCACAGCCACCAGAAAUAUACACACGAUGAAGAAAAUAUAAAACAGAAACAAAUGGCCCAAACUCAACAAGAAGAAGAGGAAGAGAUUCCAAAAGGCUUUCUUGAAAAACUAAGGUAUGUCUUGUGUGGAAGGAGGAGUGCACAUGCAGAGCGCUUCCAAUUUGAAGGGUGUAAACAAGGUCGAUUUAACUUGUGCAUAAAAAACUCUUUUUUAUUUUGAAAAUAAUAGUACUCCCUCCGUCCCGGACUACUCGAACGUUUACUUUUCGGCACGGAGAUUAAGGAAUGAGUAAUUAGUGUUUUAAGUAGAAUGGCUAAUAAAGUUGGUGAAUUUUAAGGUCAUUUUUUUAUCGAAUAUUUGCUUCCAAUCCAAAAUUAAAAUUGAAACCCUAUGAAUCA